CGCGAUUUCGUACAUUUUGAUAAUUUGGGCUUAAUGGGCCAAAGAUCGGGUUCAUGGGCCAACGGGCCUAAUUUGGAAAUCCCCAACCAUAGUGGGCUUGGAGCUGUGAGGGAAUUCGGAGUGGCCACCCAUUCUGAAAGUUUGAUUUUCUUCUGGUGAACUGGAUAUCCUUUUAUUUACGUUUGAAGUUUUGGGUUUUUAAAUGUAAUAAGGCCACUUAAUUAUUUUUUAUGGUUUUAAUAUGUAUUACUAAGAUAGGUAAUACUUAUUUUAACUGUUGAAAUUGGAUAGCUUUAGGGCGCGUUUUCAAAAACAACAGUUGAUUUCAAAAUAACACGACAACAAGCAAAGCUUCCGCAAUGAAA